UUGGAGCGUCUCUAUGUUCGUAAAAAAUGAACAUUUGACUACGUAGCCAAUAUCUAUGAAUUCUGUGGAUAAUGUACACGAUUUUAUGGUUUUCUUCCUUACUAAAUCAAAAGAGUGAUGCGAGGGAAAACAAAAUAAUCUAUUUCAAACAGUUUCGGAAUAUGUAUUCAUCUGUAUUCAUGGAGUACUUGCUUUAACAGUAUAUGUAUACAUAUACUAAUAUGUGUCCUGGUCAAGAGUUGUGUCAAGAUUACAUCUACAUAAAUUAUUUAGCGAAGACGAACGCGACGUAUUUGUCGGCGGAUACGGCGGGUCUUCCAUCGUCCGCCCCCCCCUCCCUUCUCCGCUCCUCUGCCGUCUUCUCAUCUCAACGUGCCGCCCUGUGUGUACUCGGAGUGUACCACCCUCUUGCCGGAAGCGAGGACCUCGUCAGGAGGGAGUCAGCGGCCGCGUGUGCGGAUUAUCACGCGUCUCCUUGGGAUGGAUCGUCAUGUCUAGCCGCGUCGAUCGGAUAACGGCAGCGAAUUGUAUCACCGCAGUUUGUACCGUGGCUGAUUGUGAGUAACUCCGCUCGUUGCGCAUCGGGUCGGUGAGUCACAAAUUAAUUAUUUUUAUUAUAUUUUAAUAUUCUGCGCAGGACAAAGAAAAGGAUACUGAAAGAAAAAGUUUGGUGUAGUUGAUACAAACUUUUUUCUUUAGUAGCCGAAUAAUUUUCCGAAGGAGAAACCGAGUACCCAAUCGCGCACGAUCGGUCCUCGAGAAUGCUGUAUAAAGAGUACUGAAAAUAAAGUCUGGUAACAAUUAUCAAAUGAAUAACGAAAUAGUAUUGAUUAAAUAUUUGGUCAACGCAACCAAAAAUAAUUUUACUUUUCUAAAUAUUUAGUAAAGUUAUACCAGAUUUGGUAAUACUAAACAGUUAGAAAAAUAAAAUUAUUUUUUGACAUAAUGAUAAAAUAUUCAAUUGAUACUAUUUCACUAUACAUUUCAUAGUUAUUACCAGAUUUUUUUUCAGUGAAUCUUUGCGUAAUCGUAUUUUUACGAGUGAGUGAGUGCAAUUCUGCCGAUAAUAUGAGAGGAAGAAGUUGAGGCCUGCAAGGCAACUUUCAGAUAUUCUUCGAGGUGGAAGGUGACGAGAAGAGGACACCACCCAUCAUCGCCGACUUAUAAUAAAAUAAACGAACCGCAGCCGGUUCGUCGCGUUGCGCGUUUUUUUUCGGGAGUGCCGUUUAAGUAUUGGACUAAUGAACUUUUCAUAACUCCCAUUCGAUAGAAUCCUAAUUCGAGGGCCGGGAAUCGCACCCCCGCUGCUUGGCAGUGAAUAUCCUCACUGGGGCGUUGCGUAUGGUGGCCGUGCGCGGCGCACCGCGACGUUCCAUGCCGAGUGCCCGUGCAUGAGGCAAUGCCGGGCCGCAUGUACGACAUGAUCCGUGUGCAUGUUGCGCGGCUGUCUGGUUGUGUGAGGUUUACACGCUCUGUUUUCGGCGAUCGGUUCGGUCCUAAGCGGUUAGAGUUCGGAUCGGUUGCCUUGGAUUCGCGCGUUUCUCUUGCUCUCGUCCACCAUCCUAAGGUUUUCUUAGAUCCUUGAUACCCUUUUUGGAUUCUUUGGAUCUGGGGUUCGAGCUGGAUGAAUCACGUUUAAUCUGACUUGGUCAGAACUUGGCCUUGUAGGUUAAGCUUGUGACGAGAGGCUGGCUCUCAUUUCCUGAUUCGUCUAAAAUGCUAGACGUCGGCAAUGAGUACCUUCUUCUCUCGUCCUGCCAGAGUGUCUUGUCGACGCCGCUUGGAUAUAAGAUCCAGUGGGACUGAUCUCGAUGAUCCGUUGGCUGGGCGUAUGAACGAGUCAAUUUUAGACGUGAUUUUUGUGAGACAAGAGGCGUAGGAAUUUAAUACCAUUGAUUUCGUUUUCUUCCGCGUGGGGCUUACCCUUGUUCGGGGGCGGGUACGCGUGCGUUCUACUCGCCGACUCGGGGUGCUGAAUCCACGGGAAUCCCUCUCAAUGGGAACUCAUAUCAUGGGUUUUAUAAACUCGAAGUGCCGCAGUGUUCGUGCGAAAGACUUUUAUAGAUAAUUAAUCCACGUGCGCAAAUUUAGUACAUUAUUAUUCGCGAGUGUUCCGCGUGUGCAACCGUGUGUGAGAGGAAGAGGCUUAACAACUUUUGAGAGGAGGAGGAGGCCUGGGAGAGGCAUCGAGCCCCAGCGGAGCAACCUUGGAUAAUUACCGUAGCUUCGUGGCUGAAUAACUCCGUUCGUUGCGCAUCGGGUCGGUGAGUUAGAAAUCAAUUUUCAUAUUAUUUUUUAAUACUUUGUAAAGCGUACUUGUCCUGCGCAGGGUUAUUUAAAUUUUAUGUCUUUCUAACAAAAUUAUUUUUUAUAUCUAAUGUUGGAAAGAGGCGUAUCCAUCGAUAUACGCGUGUGUAAUAAAAUAAAUUUAUUUCAAAGCUCAUUAAAAAAUUCUCUUAUUACAGAAUUUUGAAUGAGCUUUGAAAUAAAUUUAAAAAUUCCUGGAAGCUCCUCAAAUUUUCAGGAAAUGGAUUUACAAAUUUUAAGUGAACACCGUGAAUAGUGCAAUUAUUGAGAAUAUUGCGAUUGUUACUUGUUCACUUGACCUCGAGUUUCCACGAUACUUCCAGUAUUCAAAUGCGAUUAAUUAUU